UUUUUUUUUUUUUUUUUUUUUUUUUUUUUUAACCAAAUACAUCUUUUAGUAGUUACUUACUUUUUUUUUUUUUUUUUAAGAAAGAGUUUGUGGUCAAUAAUUUUUUUUGAAUCCCACUGUUGAUUGCUAGUUUGUACAGAAUUCUAGACUCCUAGUAUUUUCCUUUGCCUCUUUGAAAGUUAUUCCAUAGAUGUCUUAUAGUCAUUGUUGCCAACGACAGAUCCGUUGUCAAUAUGAUUAUCAUUCUAAGUUGUCUCUCUUUUUAAAGUUUUCUUUAUUUUUUAUAUUAUGCACUUUUGAUAUGCACUAUGAUGUAUCUAGGUGGGGAUUUUUAAAACUUUGCCCUUCUUGGCACUUCAUGGACUCAGUGCCAGAAUUUAGAAUUGAUAGCAGGUGUUCAGCCUUUUCCAAACACCUGUGUCAGGGUGGCAGCAGGGGACACGCUGAAAAACACAGCCAUCUUAAGGAUAGCUCCUAGGGCACAUUAGGCAUGCCCACCAAAACUGUCUUCUACAAAUAGGCGUGGCCCCACUGUGUCAGGAAAGAAUGGGAACAGAGUCUAACAGACGUGAGAUGAAGGCCAGUACUGGGAGCUCAACCUAAAACCAGACAGUGUAAGCAAUAAGUGGAAUUAUUAGUCAAGAUUGCUCCAGGUUCUCCAACCAAUGGAAGGAAUGGAUGAAGUUGGAGGUUGGGAGUAGAAGGGGUUUAACAAGACUGGUAAGAGAAACUCUCACAAGGGAAAGUAAAGCCCAGGAAAGGGUUUAGGACCAGGAGGGUACAUAGCGUCAACUGGUGGAUGACUCACAGCAGCUUUCAGGGAGGGAGGAAGGGGGCAAGGGAGAAAGGCAAGAGGUGGCCAGAAGGAACAGGAAUGUCAUGGCUGGAGGCUUUAAAGGCUGAGCAGUUCUGCAUGUAACAAGAGAAAAAGGUUGUCCAGGUGGAAUGGAGUGAAAAGCGUUAGAGCAGAGGAAGUCAAAGAGCUGUGUGUCAUAGGUGCUGGCAGGAGACUGGGUGAAAAGAGAUGCUGAGAGUAGGCUGCUAGGGUGCUCAAUGACCCCGAGAGGCACAAGGGAGAUGAUGGAAUCAGAGCCAAGAAGAGUGGUGAAUAGAACCAGGACACUGACACAAACCUGAUUCAAUGGCUCCCACCUCUUUCAGGGUGAACUUCUAACAGCCCCCCCGCCCCGACCCUGGCACAUAAGAUGGUACUUCACUUCCAUCUCACCUCCCACCACUUUCCCUCUGGCUCUUCACUCUUCUCUUGAGCUACUUCCAUCCGCGCAUGCUAACUCUCCAACCUGGAAUUUCCUUUCCCUCUGCCUUUGCCCAGCUGACUCUUGCUCAGUUUUCAGAGCCAAGCCCAAGAGUCAUCUCCCCUGGAAAACCUUCCCCAAGUGAUUCCCAGCCUGAACUGAACGUCUCCCCCACAGCCCUCCCCGCUCCUGUUGCAUGCUAGGCCCCUCUGCCACAGUAUUUACCACACCACUAAGGGUGUGGCUGCAUCCCACAUAUUUUGGUGUCCCCAAUACCUAUUAGGGCUCCCGGUAUCUAUGAGACUCUCAAUACAUACUUUUUAAAGCAUAUGCAUGAAUUCCAGGAAGUUUGAAAGAAAUUGGGUCAUCACUAUUAAAGUGAGGAAAUCAAAGAAACAAUAUCAACAAGUAUCUCCAAGUGACCUCCAGUAACACGGAGAAUCAAUACAGUACAGUGCCAGUAGUGAGGAGGGGAGUGAGCACAGGGAGUGAGGGCUGCUGGGAAGGGUAUCACAUUGACUGAUGCGAUUGACAUGAGACAAGGAAGAGACCUCACUAGAUUUGUUUGUACCAUGCAUGUGAUCCUGGCUUACAGGAACAAGAAAGAAAGGAACAGAGAGGCCAGCAACAUUUGGCUGUCCACUAUACGUCAUCUCAUGUCAUCUGCACACUAGGCCCCCAGGAUGGAAACUGACAUCCCCAUUUUACUGGAAAGCCAGCAUCAACGUUCGCCAUGGAGUCUAAGUGCAAAGUCACGAUAAGUCUGUUACCCUUCCUUCCCAGGUGUAGUGAGAUCAGCUGAUGACGUCAGGCUUGCACUUCCUCGAGCAGGAAACUCAUACAGACUCCUACAAAGGCAAAGGGUCUUGCCUUUUGGGUCUUCAUAUAUCCUAGAGCACCUAGUAUGCGUUAUAGACUUGUGAGGACUCAAUAUGUGUUUGUUGAUGGAAUGAAUGAAUGAAUGAAUGAAUGAGCAAAUGAACAAGUCAGUGAAUGGAUGAAAGCUGAACUGCAGGAAGUGUAAGGAUCAGGCCUUGUCAGUACUUAGCAUGCAUUAUUUUAUUUAACCCUCCUGACAUCCAUAAUUACCCUCCAUUUUACAGAUGAUUAAACCGAGGCUGAGAAAGCUUAAGAAAUUUACCCAAGGUCACACAGCUCGUAAGUGACAGAGCAAAAGUUUCCCCAGGCCUUUCUGCCUCAGAACCCCCACUCUUAACUACUCUGCUACGUUGUCUCUCAAUGAAUGAAUUCCUCUGAAUUAGUGGAUUGCUCUGGAGAUCUCAGCUUCCCCGUAUGAAGACAGAUGGUCCUUGAUGUCAGGACCAUGGUGAUGUCACCACUAGGGAAAAAAAAAUAAAAGGCACAAAACAUGGGGAGAUGAGGGUGAUUAGUUCAAAAUGUAGAAAAUCUAAAAAUACAUUGGCUUUACUUUUAGAUAUUUGUCCGACAGGGGUGGGACAACCUUAAUUAGUGUAAUAGGACAAUAGGAAUUAAAUUGGCUUCGUCACAAGACUUUUACAGGAUGACACAGACGGUAUUAGUACCCAACUUCAAAGAUUUGGAAAGAUGUUCCUGCUAACACUGGAGAAUAGAAACCUGUUUUUCAUCAACUAGGCUGGCCUGACAAAUUAAGUCUGUGGAGUCAUUAGAUUAAGAUAAGAGCUUAUCUCCUAGGCUGACAUUUAUUCAGAGGUUUUUAUACUGCUCAGCUAGUAAUUAGUGCUGUUGAAUUUUUAACACUGCUUUGUCCAGUCAUUCAAAAAUUUUAGAGGUGUGUUUGCUUCUCCUGUGUAUGUUUUCGGUUAUUAAAAAUAGAAGAGGAAUCCAAGUGAAUUACUCUAGAAGGUUUGAAUAAUUCUUCCAAAAGUUAUUCUACAGUGAAACAUGCAGCUUAAUGACUUAUUUGCAGAAGACGGGAGCAGUUCUCCCAAAUUGAUAAAUGUGGAAUAAGGAGUUGCCUUUUACUGUGGGAUCUAUAAUUUAUUUCAAGGCAUACAUAUUAUAAGUUUAUUAUGUUCUAGUGGAAUCAUUAAAACUGUGAUCACAUGCAAUAACGGUUUCCUGCUGCUUCACACCCCCAAUUCAGCAAACAUACUAUAGAUUCAGGGAACAGCUCAGAGCUGUGGGGUUUUUGUUUUGUUUUGUUUUCGGUUUCUUUCCUAUGGUUGAUUUGACUGUGAAGGUUAUUUUUCCAGUUUUCUUGUAGUUAUAAUAACAACUUGAUGACUCUAGAAAAAACUAAUACAGUAAUCCCGCACGAGUAUCUCGACAGUCGGUCCAACAACCAAUGCACACAUACUAUAGACUUUCAAAUGCUUGGUUUGCAAGAUUCCAAGUUCUAUGUUGAAAUACUAAUUAGUUGGGUUUUUUUGAAAUACUAAUUAGUAAUCAGACAGGUAAGACCCCUGGUUUUAAGAGAGUUCAUCACGUGGCUAAAGUUGUAUCCUGUUACCAUCACAUCAUUUAUUUUGUCCUAAGUGGGACAUCUCUCAGCACUCAACAUAUUGCAUUUGCCACUUUAAAAAAAAAAAAAAAAAAAAAAAAA
rnacentral:lncRNA from 1 species